GGAAGGCGGCGGCGGGGCGGUGCAGUCACAUGACGCCAACAACACAGCAAUCUCCUCAGGAUGAACAGGAAAAACUCCUGGAUGAAGCCAUUCAGGCUGUGAAGGUGCAGUCUUUCCAGAUGAAGAGAUGCUUGGACAAAAACAAGCUCAUGGAUGCUUUGAAACAUGCUUCCAACAUGCUUGGUGAGCUGCGGACUUCUAUGUUAUCUCCAAAGAGCUAUUAUGAGCUCUACAUGGCAAUUUCUGAUGAGCUACACUACUUGGAAGUCUACCUGACAGAUGAAUUUGCCAAAGGAAGGAAAGUGGCAGACCUUUAUGAGCUAGUACAGUACGCUGGAAAUAUUAUUCCAAGACUGUAUCUCCUGAUAACAGUAGGAGUUGUCUAUGUCAAGUCAUUUCCACAGUCCAGGAAAGAUAUUUUGAAAGACCUUGUGGAGAUGUGCCGUGGAGUACAGCAUCCUCUUAGAGGCCUCUUUCUUAGAAAUUAUCUACUGCAGUGUACCAGGAAUAUCUUACCAGAUGAAGGCGAGCAAGCAGAUGAAGAAACCACUGGAGACAUCAGUGAUUCGAUGGAUUUUGUGCUGCUGAACUUUGCUGAGAUGAAUAAACUUUGGGUGCGAAUGCAACACCAGGGCCAUAGUCGGGACAGAGAGAAAAGGGAGCGAGAAAGGCAGGAACUGAGAAUCCUAGUAGGAACAAACCUGGUUCGCCUCAGUCAGUUGGAAGGUGUUAAUGUGGAGCGAUAUAAACAGAUUGUUCUGCCCGGAAUAUUGGAGCAAGUUGUAAACUGUAGAGAUGCUUUAGCUCAGGAGUACCUCAUGGAGUGCAUCAUACAGGUUUUCCCAGAUGAAUUUCACCUCCAAACCUUGAACCCAUUUCUCAGAGCCUGUGCUGAGCUGCACCAAAAUGUGAAUGUGAAAAAUAUAAUUAUUGCUUUAAUUGACAGGUUAGCUUUAUUUGCACAUCGUGAAGAUGGACCUGGAAUCCCAGCAGAUAUCAAACUGUUUGACAUCUUUUCACAGCAGGUUGCUACUGUAAUACAGUCUCGCCAGGACAUGCCCUCAGAGGAUGUUGUAUCUUUGCAAGUUUCUCUCAUUAACUUGGCUAUGAAAUGCUAUCCAGACCGUGUUGACUAUGUUGAUAAGGUGUUGGAGACAACCGUGGAAAUAUUCAAUAAACUUAAUCUGGAACAUAUUGCAACAAGCAGUGCUGUUUCAAAGGAGCUGACUAGACUUUUGAAAAUCCCUAUUGAUACUUACAACAAUAUCCUGACAGUUCUGAAACUAAAACAUUUUCACCCACUCUUUGAAUACUUUGAUUACGAGUCCAGGAAGAGCAUGAGUUGUUACGUGCUUAGCAAUGUAUUGGAUUAUAACACAGAAAUUGUGUCUCAAGAACAGGUUGAUGCUAUCAUGAAUUUGGUAUCCACACUGAUCCAGGAUCAACCAGAUCAGCCUGCUGAAGAUCCUGACCCUGAGGAUUUUGCUGAUGAGCAGAGUCUUGUGGGAAGAUUUAUUCAUCUUUUGCGUUCAGAUGACCCUGACCAACAGUAUCUGAUCCUAAAUACUGCCCGGAAACACUUUGGUGCAGGUGGGAACCAACGUAUUCGUUUUACACUGCCACCACUGGUUUUUGCUGCGUACCAGCUUGCUUUUCGCUACAAAGAGAACUCCAAAGUGGAUGACAAAUGGGAAAAGAAGUGCCAGAAGAUCUUCUCGUUUGCUCAUCAGACCAUCAGUGCUCUGAUCAAAGCAGAACUGGCAGAGCUGCCUCUUCGUCUCUUCCUACAAGGAGCACUGGCUGCAGGAGAGAUUGGCUUUGAAAAUCAUGAAACUGUGGCCUAUGAAUUCAUGUCCCAGGCUGCUGUGCAAUUAAGCUCCAUUACUACUGAUUUGAAUACUCAGUCUGACAACACGUGGCCUUCUCUCUAUAUGAAGAUGAAAUCAGUGAUUCAAAAGCACAGCUGGCUGCAAUCACCUUGAUAAUUGGGACAUUUGAGAGGAUGAAGUGCUUCAGUGAGGAGAACCAUGAGCCUUUGAGGACUCAGUGUGCGCUGGCAGCCUCUAAGCUCCUUAAGAAGCCAGACCAAUGCCGGGCUGUGAGCACUUGUGCCCAUCUGUUUUGGUCUGGCCGAAAUACUGACAAGAAUGGAGAGGAGCUUCAUGGAGGAAAAAGAGUGAUGGAAUGCCUAAAGAAGGCUCUGAAGAUAGCAAAUCAGUGCAUGGAUCCUUCUCUGCAAGUCCAACUUUUCAUAGAAAUUCUGAAUAGAUAUAUCUAUUUUUAUGAAAAGGAAAAUGAGGCGGUGACAAUUCAGGUUUUGAAUCAGCUUAUACAGAAGAUAAGAGAAGAUCUCCCAAACCUUGAGUCUACUGAAGAAACAGAACAGAUUAACAAACACUUUCACAACACACUGGAGCACUUGCGUCUGAGGAGGGAAUCACCAGAAUCUGAGGGGCCAAUUUAUGAAGGUCUUGUUAUUUAGGAAGAUACACACUGUACUUAUUUCUUUUCAUUUACAUACCAUAUGGGUUUUUUAAGAUAGAUUCAUAGGUUGUGCCUUUCAGAAAUGUCAAGUUAAGUUAACAUUCAUGUGUUCAGUCUGGCACUUCAAACACUUGUGUUGAGUACUCUAACAAAUUUGAAAGGUUGGACUAGCAACUACAGGUUUCAUCAGUUAGCAUGGCUGAAACUUUCUUUGAAACCCAUGUGACAUGGUAGGGCUCUUCGGUUCUGAUUUCUCUUCUGUCUGUUCACUGUUGCUUCUGUAGUACUAGAGUUCUAAACUGGCAGUGACUGUCAUCUGAAACUGUGUCUGAUCCUUACAGAGCAUCAGAUUUUUGGGAUUAUUGUAUGUCAGAUUCUGCUUGUGCUUUUCUUUUAAUGCAAGUUAAGACUAAGUGUAAUAUUUUUCCCUAAAAACUAGAAUAUAUUAAUGCAUGUUUGGAGAGUUUUAAAGUACCAUGUUCAAAAACAGAAGUUAUAUUUUGCAUAUUAAGGCUCUGUGACAUUCAGUGAGGGCCAGUACUCUGCACAGGGCAUAUUUAUCAAGAUAAUUUUGUUCCAAAUAGUAUAAAAAUAGAGAAUUUGCAAUCUAUAUAGAUAUGUAUAACCUUCAUUACUGUAAAUUUAGGGGAAAAUGCAUUACACAAGUUUAUUCAGUAUCAUGAUUUUUUGCACCAGUGAAACAAUAAAGUUGCUAUUAACACC